rnacentral:rRNA from 1 species
UAGGGAAUCUUCGGCAAUGGGGGGAACCCUGACCGAGCAACGCCGCGUGAGUGAAGAAGGUUUUCGGAUCGUAAAGCUCUGUUGUUAAGGAAGAACGAGUGUGAGAAUGGAAAGUUCAUACUGUGACGGUACUUAACCAGAAAGGGACGGCUAACUACGUGCCAGCAGCCGCGGUAAUACGUAGGUCCCGAGCGUUGUCCGGAUUUAUUGGGCGUAAAGCGAGCGCAGGCGGUCAAUUAAGUCUGAUGUGAAAGCCCCCGGCUCAACCGGGGAGGGUGAUUGGAAACUGGUUGACUUGAGUGCAGAAGAGGAGAGUGGAAUUCCAUGUGUAGCGGUGAAAUGCGUAGAUAUAUGGAGGAACACCAGUGGCGAAGGCGACUCUCUGGUCUGUAACUGACGCUGAGGCUCGAAAGCGUGGGUAGCAAACAGG